UACGAAGGGGGCUAGCGUUGCCCGGAAUCACUGGGCGUAAAGGGUGCGUAGGCGGGUCUUUAAGUCAGGGGUGAAAUCCUGGAGCUCAACUCCAGAACUGCCUUUGAUACUGAGGAUCUUGAGUUCGGGAGAGGUGAGUGGAACUGCGAGUGUAGAGGUGAAAUUCGUAGAUAUUCGCAAGAACACCAGUGGCGAAGGCGACUUACUGGACACAUAUUGACGCUGAGGUGCGAAAGCGUGGGGAGCAAACAGG
rnacentral:rRNA from 1 species